CCUGGUAUGGUUCUCAAUCAGAGGCAGCUGUCAAUCGUUGUCCCUGAUUGAGAACCAUAUUUAGGUAGCCUGUUUUCCAUUGUGUUUGGUGGGUGGUUAUUUUCUGUUUAGUGCUGUGUUGCACCUUACAGGACUGUUCGUUGGUUGGUUAUUGUUUUGUUUUCAGUGUUCAUUAAAAUAUUUAAAAUAUGAACACAUACCACGCUGCACCUUGGUCCUCCUUGUCAUGUAUUGUCAUGUUGUGUCUUUCUGUCCUGUCCUUUCACCCUGUCUCCCUCUGCUGGUCGUAUUAGGUUACCUUUUCUCCACCGCUUUCCCCCAGCUGUUCCUUGUCUCCUCUUGACUACCUCGUCACCCCUUCUCCCACCUGGUCGUAUUAGGUUACCUUUUCUCCCCCGCUUUCCCCCAGCUGUUCCUUGUCUCCUCUUGACUACCUCGUCACCCCUUCUCCCACCUGUUCCCCUUUUCCCUCUGAUUAGUCCCCUAUAUCUCUCUCUGUUUUUGUUCCUGUCCUUGUCGGAUUCUUGUUUGUUUGUGUCAUUCAUGCCUGAACCAGACUGUCGUCAUGUUUGCUGUAACCUUGUCCUGUCCUGUCGGAAUCUGCCGGUCCAUCUGAGCCUACCUAUGUUUGGUAAUUAAAGAAGCUCUGUUUAAGUUGAUUCGCUUUUGGGUCCUCAUUCACGCACCGUAACACUCCUCUCCUUCCCCAGAUGACAAGCGUUACAAAGAUGGGUAAAAAAAAGUAGACGUUGAAUAUCGCUUUGAGCAUGGUGAAGUUAUUCAUUACACUUUGGAUGGUGUAUCAAAGAGAAAGUCCUUCCUAACUCAGUAGCCAGAGACGAAGGAAAUCGCUCAGGGAUUUCACCAAGAGUUUAAUGGCUGUGAUUGGCGAAAACUGAGGAUGGAUCAGCAUCAUUUUAGGUAUUCCACUUUACUAACCUAAAUGACAGAGUGAAAGUAAACCUGCAACAAAUGUACAAAGAAAGUAACUUUAUUUCCUGUAUACAAAGCGUUAUGUUUGGGACAAAUUCAACACAACACAUAACUGAUUGCCACUCUUCAUAUUUUCAAGCAUGGUGUUGGCUGCAUCAUGUUAAGGGUAUGCGUGUCAUUGGCAAGGACUAGGGCAUUAUUUUGUAGUUGAAAAAGAUAAACAGAAUAGAGCUAAGCAUAGGCAAAAUCCUAGAGGAAAACCUGGUUCAGUCUGCUUUCCAACAGACACUGGGAGACAAAUUCACCUUUUAGCAGAAUAAUAACCUAAAAAACAAGGCCAAAUAUACACUGGAGUCGCUUACCAAGACGACAUUGAAAGUUACUGAGUGGCCUAGUUUCAGUUUUGACUAAAAUCGUCUUGAAAAACUAUGGCAAGACUAGAAAAUGGCUGUCUAGCAAUGAUCAACAAUCAAAUUGACAGAGCUUGAAUUAUUUAAAAAAGAUUAAUGUUCAAA
rnacentral:lncRNA from 13 species